rnacentral:rRNA from 1 species
AUUGAACGCUGGCGGCAGGCUUAACACAUGCAAGUCGAGCGGAGAUGAGGUGCUUGCACCUUAUCUUAGCGGCGGACGGGUGAGUAAUGCUUAGGAAUCUGCCUAUUAGUGGGGGACAACAUUCCGAAAGGAAUGCUAAUACCGCAUACGUCCUACGGGAGAAAGCAGGGGACCUUCGGGCCUUGUGCUAAUAGAUGAGCCUAAGUCGGAUUAGCUAGUUGGUGGGGUAAAGGCCUACCAAGGCGACGAUCUGUAGCGGGUCUGAGAGGAUGAUCCGCCACACUGGGACUCAGACCCGGCCCAGAAUCCUACGGGAGGCAGCAGUGGGGAAUAUUGGACGAUGGGCGGAAGCCUGAUCUAGCCAUGCCGCGUGUGUGAAGAAGGCCUUUUGGUUGUAAAGCACUUUAAGCGAGGAGGAGGCUACUUAGAUUAAUACUCUAGGAUAGUGGACGUUACUCGCAGAAUAAGCACCGGCUAACUCUGUGCCAGCCGCCGCUGUAACAC